UAAGCAGUGAAACAAGACCCUGUUGAGCAUGACUAGUCUGGUACUGUGAAGAGACAUGAGAGGUGCAGAAUAAGUUAGAUGCCUCCAGGCUGCCAGAGAAAUAUCACUACUCAUAUUGUUUUUUCACUUGCCAGUUUACCAGUGAGGUGGAGGGAGGAGAGGCAAACCCUGAGGGGCUCUCACUUCUGGCUCCAGGUACCUGGUGCAUGCCGGGCAUGACCUGCUCUGGGAGAGGUGUCAUGUUGGGUGUUUGACUAAAGCAAUACACCAGUAACAAAGGUGUAAUAAAGUGAGUAUAGGGAGGACAGAAAUCUCCCAUGGCGCAGAAGGGCAAAAGCUCAUUUGAUCUUGAUUUUCAGUAUGAAUACAGACCAGGAAAGUGGGGCCUCACAAUGCUUCUCGAUCCUGAGAAGUCCAAAUGUCUCUUCAUCCAGAGCCUCUAUCUCCUUUCCUGAAGAAAAACAUCUCUUUAAGCAGGUGUCAGAAAUGUUACCACAGGAAUAACUGGCUUGUGGCAGCCAAGCGUUCAUAGCAGUAGCUUUUUGAUCCUUCAGAGUCAGCUCUUUCUAUCAUUGUGAAGCAGAAUUCACCAAUCAGUGGUUGUUCACCCACUAAUAGGGAAUGUGAGCUGGGGAUAGACCAUCGUGAGACAGGUUAGUUUUAUGCGAUUGAAAAUGUGUUGCAAUUGUAAUCCUGCUCAGUAUGAGAGGAACCACAGGUUCAGACAUUUGGUGUAUGUGUUUGGCUGAAGAGCCAAUGGGGUGAAGCUACCAUCUGUAGGAUUAUGACUGAAUUCCUCUAAAUCAGUAUCCCCCCUAAACAUAACGAUAUGGCAACACUGUGGAGCCUCAGUUGGCCCUGGAUAGCCAGCUAAUCCCUCAGGUAGGGCACAGUGUGGAAAACUGUUCAUGUUGAGACCAGAGUGUAGACAGAAGGGAGCUGCCUAUCACCUGUUCAUGGGGAUAGCUCAGUGGUCUGAGCAUUG
rnacentral:ncRNA from 1 species